CUCAGGGGAGAUGACAAACUUCCAUCAGGCUACCAACUGCUUGAUCCAAGGAGCCAGCCUACAUGGGCAUACCAAGUGAUGGGAAACUGUGGCAAUGUGGGAGACAGCUGCAAACUGAAACGAUUCAUGGACAGACUUUUUUUCAACCCUCCGACGUUGGGCAAGGCACUGCUGCCAUGUUUAAGAGAAAACAGGCUGUUGUAUUGCAGGCUCUAGGGAUCUUUGCCACUGAGAGGCUAAAGUUAUUACCCAAUCAGUUUUCUGACGCACUGAGUGAGAAGAUAUGUACACUGAGGAAUGCAUUCAAGUGAAUGAGCCAAGGUUUCACACAAAGUGCUCAGAUAAUUCAGCAAGAAAUGGAAAGUGCUCAGAUAAUUCAGCCA
rnacentral:lncRNA from 1 species